rnacentral:sRNA from 1 species
UUUUCCUCUUCCAGUUUCCUACUAUGUUGGAACCUUGGGGACUCACACUGAGAUCAAGAGAGUGGCAGAGGAAAAGGUCACUUUGCCCUGCCACCAUCAACUGGGGCUUCCAGAAAAAGACACUCUGGAUAUUGAAUGGCUGCUCACCGAUAAUGAAGGGAACCAAAAAGUGGUGAUCACUUACUCCAGUCGUCAUGUCUACAAUAACUUGACUGAGGAACAGAAGGGCCGAGUGGCCUUUGCUUCCAAUUUCCUGGCAGGAGAUGCCUCCUUGCAGAUUGAACCUCUGAAGCCCAGUGAUGAGGGCCGGUACACCUGUAAGGUUAAGAAUUCAGGGCGCUACGUGUGGAGCCAUGUCAUCUUAAAAGUCUUAGUGAGACCAUCCAAGCCCAAGUGUGAGUUGGAAGGAGAGCUGACAGAAGGAAGUGACCUGACUUUGCAGUGUGAGUCAUCCUCUGGCACAGAGCCCAUUGUGUAUUACUGGCAGCGAAUCCGAGAGAAAGAGGGAGAGGAUGAACGUCUGCCUCCCAAAUCUAGGAUUGACUACAACCACCCUGGACGAGUUCUGCUGCAGAAUCUUACCAUGUCCUACUCUGGACUGUACCAGUGCACAGCAGGCAACGAAGCUGGGAAGGAAAGCUGUGUGGUGCGAGUAACUGUACAGUGUA